AUGGCAGAGUCCUUCGACAAGAUGAAGGUGGAGUUCACGGGCCAUGAAGAGAGCGUGCAGGCCCUCGCAGAGGCCUUCCACGACUCCGGCGAGGUCCCCGAGAGGUACAUCAGGCCGGAGAUCGAUGCCGAUCCCCUGGCCGCCGAUGCGGGGGGUCAUGCUCUGCCGACGAUCGACAUGUCCAGGCUGCUCGACCCCGAGUUCUCGGCGGAGGAGUCCGCUAAGCUCGGAUCCGCCUGCGAGCACUGGGGCUUCUUCCAGCUCGUGAACCAUGGCGUGGACGGGGGGCUGCUGGGGCAGACGAAGGCCGACGUCGCCGAGUUCUUCGGCCUUCCCCCGGAGGAGAAGUCGGCCGUGGCGAUCCCGCCCAACGGCAUGCAGGGCUUCGGCCACCACUUCGUCUUCUCCAAGGAGCAGAAGCUGGACUGGGUGGACCUGCUGUUCCUCGCCACCAGGCCCGCCCAGGAGCGGUGCCUGGACUUCUGGCCCACCAAGCCCUCCACCUUCAGGGACACGCUUGACAAGUACACGACGGAGCUAGCAAGUGUAGCCGAACAGCUGUUCAGGUUCAUGGCCAAGGACCUGGGAAUUGACCAGGAGGCGCUCCUUGGCACCUUCAAGGGCCUGCCCCAGUGCGUGAGGAUCAACUACUACCCUCCCUGCCGGCAAGCCGGCAAGGUGCUGGGCCUCUCGCCGCACACCGACGGCGUUGGCAUGACCCUACUCCUCCAUGCCAACGACGUGCAAGGACUGCAGGUCAGGAAGGAUGGGGAAUGGUUCUCCGUGGACGCCCUGCCCGGAGCUCUCGUCGUCAACAUCGGCGACGUCCUUGAGAUCCUCAGCAAUGGCAAGUACAGGAGCAUCGAGCACCGGGCGGUGGUUAACCCUGACAAGGAGAGGAUCACCAUUGCAGCGUUCCACAGCGUGCACCUUCCCUGCACGAUCGGCCCGUUUCAGCAGCUGGGCGACGCACGCUACAAGACGGUCGAUGGCCUUGACUUCACCAAGGGAUACUUCGCGGCGAAGCUGGAAGGCAGGAGGUACCUGGAGAGCUUGAAGCUAUAG
rnacentral:rRNA from 1 species